rnacentral:rRNA from 1 species
AUGCAAGUCGAACGGAUCCUUCGGGAUUAGUGGCGGACGGGUGAGUAACACGUGGGAACGUGCCCUUUGGUUCGGAACAACUCAGGGAAACUUGAGCUAAUACCGGAUAAGCCUUUCGAGGGAAAGAUUUAUCGCCAUUGGAGCGGCCCGCGUAGGAUUAGCUAGUUGGUGGGGUAAAGGCCCACCAAGGCUACGAUCCUUAGCUGGUCUGAGAGGAUGAUCAGCCACAUUGGGACUGAGACACGGCCCAAACUCCUACGGGAGGCAGCAGUGGGGAAUCUUGCGCAAUGGGCGAAAGCCUGACGCAGCCAUGCCGCGUGAAUGAUGAAGGUCUUAGGAUUGUAAAAUUCUUUCACCGGGGACGAUAAUGACGGUACCCGGAGAAGAAGCCCCGGCUAACUUCGUGCCAGCAGCCGCGGUAAUACGAAGGGGGCUAGCGUUGCUCGGAAUUACUGGGCGUAAAGGGAGCGUAGGCGGAUAGUUUAGUCAGAGGUGAAAGCCCAGGGCUCAACCUUGGAAUUGCCUUUGAUACUGGCUAUCUUGAGUACGGAAGAGGUAUGUGGAACUCCGAGUGUAGAGGUGAAAUUCGUAGAUAUUCGGAAGAACACCAGUGGCGAAGGCGACAUACUGGUCCGUUACUGACGCUGAGGCUCGAAAGCGUGGGGAGCAAACAGGAUUAGAUACCCUGGUAGUCCACGCUGUAAACGAUGAGUGCUAGUUGUCGGCAGGCAUGCCU